AUUGGUCGUUUGGGCCAAAUGUCACUCCCGAUUGGUCACGCUGACUCAACAAAUUAAAAACCGAUUAGCGCGCCCUGCGGCGGCGCGAGGGGCGCCAUGGAAGGACGCAGGAAUCCACUGAAAGUAUCUGCUCUACUUCUGACAAAAUGGGAAGAUAGCAAGCAUUUGUGAAGGAUCAAUUUGUCCACGGGCAUCAAGCUGUCAUUGUUUCGGCCGCCCGCCUUUGUUGUGAACCAGCCGCUUGACGACAAACUGCUCCAACAACCUCCCAAACAUGUAAUUUCCACAGUGGGCGUAUUAGCGAGGAAAUUUCUGGAAGAGCUUGUCAACACCACAAAGACAUCCCAAAACUUUCUACAAGGAGUUGAUUCUUCGUUGGAUGGCUUUAGUAAACAUAUGCAAGGACCAA